ensembl:antisense Tbx3os1 T-box 3, opposite strand 1
GACAGGGGCCAGCGGGUUGGCUAGAACGACUUGCAACUAUGUUAAUGACUUUGGCCAAGUAACGUUUGAAGUUCAACUGAGCCAGAAUGGACAGAGACGAGUGCUACUGAAGUGGAAAUGUCUUAUAUCCUGUUUUGUGAUUCCCUGCCUCAGAGCUGAGUCACCCCUGCCUGAAGAAAGGAUCCUUCAUCCCAAGGCUCACUCACUUCCUAUCCAAGCCAUCUCAAGCUAAAGGCAAAUGAACCAAGGAACCCCUCCUGCGCCUGGACCUGAAGAUGAAGGGCUAUAAUCCCAGCUUCUCAGGAGGACAAGGCGGGAGGAGUUCCAGGUCACUCUGGGAAAUCUAGAGACUCUCAAAAAAAAAAAAAAAAAAUCAAAAGGAUUGGAAACUUCAAGGAGUCAUAGUACAAUGGAUAACCUUCUCAGUGCACAUGGGUCCCGUGCCCUAGCACCCAAUAGGUAGAUCUCCUGCUUGUCCGUUCCCUAGCAUCCAAUACUGGCAAGAGAGGCAAAGGCCCCCACCUCCUCUGCCUCUCUCCUUACUCCCUUUCCCGACUCAGAGUCCUAGGUUGGUUAAGAACCCCCUAGCCCCACAGGCAGCUGUCCUUUGCACUUAGCCAAGCAAGGUGGGGUGGGCAUGACCCCCAUUCUGACUUGUACUUCCUCUCUCUGUUGCCAGGCUUCUAGUUGGCAUUGCUCGCCUGCCACUUCCUCCAUUCCAACCGUCUCUCUUCACUCUGAAACCCAAAGCCUGCUCAAGACCCAGUUGGUUCAGAGCUCAGGUUCAUGUGUCUUAGGAGAGGGUUCUAUUAGUCUGGAAAAUGAGUGCAGCCAGAAGACAAGAAACUGGCUGGGGGGGGGGAUUGGGGGAAGGGAAGAUGACCGAGGAGCCCCCCCCCCUUCUCUCUACCCCAUCCCAUGAUUUCCUUUGUCUCCUGUCCCAAUCCCAACCCAUCUCCCCACCCCCAGCCUAUGAGCCUGGAGGCUUCCCAAUAAAACAGUAUUGUAACC